rnacentral:rRNA from 1 species
CCUACGGGAGGCAGCAGUGGGGAAUUUUGGACAAUGGGCGCAACCCUGAUCCAGCAAUGCCGCGUGGAUGAUGAAGGCUUUCGGGUUGUAAAGCUCUUUCAGACGGRAAGAAAUGAUCCUGGCUAAUAUCCAGGUUUAAUGACGGUACCCUGAGAAUAAGCACCG